rnacentral:tRNA from 1 species
GCAGUGGUGGUUCAAUGGUAGAAUUCUCGCCUUCCAUGGGGAAGACCCGGGUUUGACUCUGGCCAAUGCA